UACGUAGGGUGCAAGCGUUGUCCGGAAUUAUUGGGCGUAAAGAGCUCGUAGGCGGUCUGUCGCGUCUGCUGUGAAAACUCGGGGCUUAACCCCGGGCCUGCAGUGGGUACGGGCAGACUAGAGUGCGGUAGGGGGAGACUGGAAUUCCUGGUGUAGCGGUGAAAUGCGCAGAUAUCAGGAGGAACACCGGUGGCGAAGGCGGAUCUCUGGGCCUUACCUGACGCUGAGGAGCGAAAGCAUGGGGAGCAAACAGG
rnacentral:rRNA from 1 species